GAUGAACGCUGGCGGCGUGCCUAAUACAUGCAAGUCGAGCGAACAGACGAGGAGCUUGCUCCUCUGACGUUAGCGGCGGACGGGUGAGUAACACGUGGAUAACCUACCUAUAAGACUGGGAUAACUUCGGGAAACCGGAGCUAAUACCGGAUAAUAUAUUGAACCGCAUGGUUCAAUAGUGAAAGACGGUUUUGCUGUCACUUAUAGAUGGAUCCGCGCCGCAUUAGCUAGUUGGUAAGGUAACGGCUUACCAAGGCAACGAUGCGUAGCCGACCUGAGAGGGUGAUCGGCCACACUGGAACUGAGACACGGUCCAGACUCCUACGGGAGGCAGCAGUAGGGAAUAUUGCGCAAUGGGCGAAAGCCUGACGGAGCAACGCCGCGUGAGUGAAGAAGGUCUUCGGAUCGUAAAACCCUGUUAUUAGGGAAGAACAAAUGUGUAAGUAACUAUGCACGUCUUGACGGUACCUAAUCAGAAAGCCACGGCUAACUACGUG
rnacentral:rRNA from 1 species